CAUGCCGCGUGAGUGAAGAAGGCCUUCGGGUUGUAAAGCUCUUUCGGCCGGGAAGAAAUCGUGUUCUCUAAUAUAGGACAUGGAUGACGGUACCGGACUAAUAAGCACCGGCUAACUACGUGCCAGCAGCCGCGGUAAUACGUAGGGUGCGAGCGUUAAUCGGAAUUACUGGGCGUAAAGCGUGCGCAGGCGGUUUUGUAAGACAGAUGUGAAAUCCCCGGGCUUAACCUGGGAACUGCGUUUGUGACUGCAAGGCUAGAGUACGGCAGAGGGGGGUGGAAUUCCUGGUGUAGCAGUGAAAUGCGUAGAUAUCAGGAGGAACACCGAUGGCGAAGGCAGCCCCCUGGGCCUGUACUGACGCUCAUGCACGAAAGCGUGGGGAGCAAACAGGAUUAGAUACCCUGGUAGUCCACGCCCUAAACGAUGUCGACUAGUCGUUCGGAGCAGCAAUGCACUGAGUGACGCAGCUAACGCGUGAAGUCGACCGCCUGGGGAGUACGGCCGCAAGGUUAAAACUCAAAGGAAUUGACGGA
rnacentral:rRNA from 1 species